rnacentral:rRNA from 1 species
AUGCAUGGUCUGCAGCUGCAGCUCCUCCAAGUUGCGCUUCACUUUGCAAAAGGACCGCGAUCUCGUCUGCUGCGUCAAGGAUCUUGGGCAUGUGGUUUCCCCCACGGGCGGCAGGCAUGUUGUUUUCCCCGUGAGAAGCGACCUCAACGUCUGCGGCAUCGGCGGUUGGGGAGGCGCACCCCUCCUCGUCAUUCUCCAUCGAAAGCCCUCCAUUCUUCUCUAUGUGGUGCAGACCAACAGCCGUCCAGUGGGGAGAAGACAUGGUGUCACCGAUAG